CCUACGGGAGGCAGCAGUGAGGAAUAUUGGUCAAUGGACGCAAGUCUGAACCAGCCAUGCCGCGUGCAGGAUGACGGCUCUAUGAGUUGUAAACUGCUUUUGUAUGAGGGUAAUAUCAGGUACGUGUACCUGCUUGAAAGUAUCAUACGAAUAAGGAUCGGCUAACUCCGUGCCAGCAGCCGCGGUAAUACGGAGGAUCCAAGCGUUAUCCGGAUUUAUUGGGUUUAAAGGGUGCGUAGGCGGUUUGAUAAGUUAGAGGUUAAAUGUCAGUGCUCAACACUGGCCUGCCUCUAAUACUGUUGAACUAGAGAGUAGAUGCGGUAGGCGGAAUGUAUGGUGUAGCGGUGAAAUGCGUAGAGAUCAUACAGAACACCGAUUGCGAAGGCAGCUUACCAAACUAUAUCUGACGUUGAGGCACGAAAGCGUGGGUAGCAAACAGGAUUAGAUACCCUGGUAGUCCACGCAGUAAACGAUGAUAGCUCGUUGUCGGCGAUACACAGUCGGUGACUUAGAGAAAUCGAUAAGCUAUCCACCUGGGGAGUACGUUCGCAAGA
rnacentral:rRNA from 1 species